CAUAUACAAGAAUGAAUAGUUAUAACUGUUCGUGGAAUGGGUUUGCACAGUCUGAAUACCGAACAGGGUAUUGGGUGAACAAAAGGGAGUACUUCUGUAACAGUUUGUAAGGUUCUUCUAACAGUAGUAGGGUUCUUGUAACAGUAUUAGACUAGUGACAGUUGCAGAAAAGGACUCAGUCAGGAGCUAUUAACAGUUUAUUUGAUAUGCUUUGAUGAAGAAGUGGGAUUUUGAAGGAGUGGAGACUGGGUGAGCAUCUAAUGGAGGAGGGAAGCGAGUUCCACAGGAACGGUGCAGCCCUCAAGAAAUCUUGAAGGCAAGCAUCAGAGGUGGGAGUAUGGACAGAAGAUAGACGUAAGUCUUCAGCUGAUCGUAAGGGCUUAGACAGGACAUAAUUGUGUAUAAGGGAGGAUAGAUAGGUGGAAGCAGCAUUAUGUAGAAAUUUGAAAGCAAGACCCAGAAUUUUAAAUUGAGCUCUAUAUUUUAUAGGAAGCCAAUUUAGGGACUGAGAGAAGGGUGAGGCAUGGGAGGUGCGGGCGGACAGGAAGAUGAGCCUCGCUGCCGCAUUCAUUAUGGACUGUAACAGCGCAAGCCCACGUGGCAGGUGAGCAGAAGCAAGCGUACCAGCGAGAGCUCCCCUGCUGGGUCCAUUGUAGCCUUGGCAAACCGUAAGGCAAGAGCACAGCAUAAUAUUUUAAAGGCUGAAAAAUACACUUAAAACCAAAUAAUCAUCAAACCUCUACACCUCACCUUUACUACCACAUAGAAGGAAAAGGAACUGCACCUAUCAACAUAGUAUAUUGCUGUAUAUUGCUGAGUCAAUUCCAUGCUCAAGCGAACAGAAUAUACUGCUCAUGAUCAAGCAGAUCGACCAAAUGAAAUUUCCAUCCUUUCAUUGAAUGAAGCAGAGCAACAAAACUUAGAAGUAAUCAUCAAGAUAAAUACUAAGAACUGCUCCAAAUAUUAAUUCCAGCUCCUUAUUAAGCAGAUCGACCAAAGGAAAUUUCCAUCUUUUCACUGAAUGAAGCAGAGCAACAAAACUUAGAAGUAAUCCUCAAGAGAAUCACUAAGGACUGCUCCAAAAUAUUGUUCCAGC